GAUGUAACGCUCGGCGGCGUGCUUAACACAUGCAAGUCGAACGAGGUAGUGAGGGCGGAAGUUUUCGGACGGAAGACCUUGUACUGAGUGGCGGACGGGUGAGUAACGCGUGGGAAACCUGCCCUGUUCCGGGGGAUACCAGUUGGAAACGACUGUUAAUACCGCAUAAGCGCAUAGCACCGCAUGGUGCAGUGUGAAAAACUCCGGUGGAACAGGAUGGUCCCGCGUCUGAUUAGGUAGUUGGUGAGGUAACGGCCCACCAAGCCAACGAUCAGUAGCCGACCUGAGAGGGUGACCGGCCACAUUGGGACUGAGACACGGCCCAG
rnacentral:rRNA from 1 species